rnacentral:misc_RNA from 1 species
UCUCUCUCUCUCUCUCUCCCGAAAAUGGCAGUGGAGCCAAGCUCAUCUUCUGCUUCUCAACCAUAGCCUCUAUUUGCUUUUCCAUUUCUCUACUUCUGUUGUAGUGAGUGUUGGUUCGAGUUCUUGAUGAUGGAGGAAGUAGGGAAGGAGACGAAUAAAAAGGAGCCUGUGAGUCUCGAGUGUUUGAUAAUUGUGGUGUUUUUG